rnacentral:lncRNA from 11 species
AUCUUUGGGAAGGGGGUGGAGUGACAGGUACUUCAUCCUCCUCUUGCCUUCCUGCAGGAGGAGCUUUUGUUUUAGAGUAAAAAUGGUUUGGUGUUCUUUAUUUAGGUUAGCACACCUGUAGAGCUUGUGAAAACUUGAUGCUCUUUGAAAUGGGUAGGAAUUGUCUAUAAUGGCUGCUAGUGUUUGUGUGAAGUAGUAGUGUUGUUUAAAAGAAAUUUCUAAAUGUAAUUUCUAAUGCAGAUAAUAUUCGCAACAGUGAUCGAGGCCAUGUGGGGAUGACUUGCUUGCAAAUUGGGAGGGACUUCCUAAUCCAGAUUUACAUGCUAUGCAGGAACAACUGAGACCGGAACAACUGUAGGUGCCAUGUAGUAUCUCCGUUCCUGUCAAGAUGGUAUACAGCCAGGAGAAGACAUAUGUUUCCUUGAGAUAUUGCUUGAAGGAACCACUUCAUUGACUGAUGUGCAGCUGGACUACAGAACAGUUGUCUGAGGAGCACAACGAUGCUAAUGGCAAUGGAGUAUUAUAGCCUGUAUUUUUUCUUGAGCAACCUUGAUGGCUGGUGGUGAAGGGUAGACAUCCCUUCUGUGAGAUGGAAAAUUCUGCAAGAGCCAUAAAGACAUGAUGGAAAUUAUCCUAGGAUCAGAAGGCCAAGCUGCUAUUCUUAAUAGUAGCGGCAGGAGCUAAAGGAAUCUCCACCCAUCACUUCGUGGUGUAACAAGAUUUGCAUAAAGCAUUUAAAGAAAAAGAAAAAAAGAAAGAUUCUGGGUUAACCUCUUGUGCUGAUUCUUCCAAGUGGGAUCUUUGAAGGGGGAGGGGGGUACCAAGAGACCCCCCUCCCCCAGAAGACAUCUUUAGGUUGGCUGCUGAACAUCUGUGGAGAGGUGAUGCCUAUCAGGCUUUGAGUUUUCCAGUAUUAUGCAAGUAUGAAACAAGUGGACUGAAACCCAUAUUUCUAAUCACAAUAGUAAAGUCUCCUGAAGGUGGGCAGGACCUGUAAAUAUGAGCUAGUCAUUCCACAAUCUGGGGGUGGCUGAAGAAAAAGUUCCUUGGUGACCAUCGCCAUCCUACUCUUGUCCAACUGCAGUAAAAUCAGAAGACUCAGGUGUACAGGGCAGAUAAUUUGGGAGGUAAUCUUAUUGUAACUAGUAUGUUUUCUUUGCAUGCAUUAUUGUGCCCUAUUAUUUGUGUCAGCUGCAGUGCUUGCCAUCUACAUUCUUGAGUUAAUACUUUAAAAUCUUGGAGUCAUAGCUUUGCACUGUAAGAAGGAUAGUCCAAGU